rnacentral:piRNA from 1 species
UGAGUUCGAGGCCAGCCUGGU